rnacentral:lncRNA from 12 species
CGGAGGACCGAAUUGGAGAGAUACUUUGCAUUAUUUUCAAACAUUUGGAAACCCUUUGGGGGCGAAGAGAGGGUUUGGAUAGGAUUUCAAAACCCCAUUAUCUGUUCAAUCUGUGUGCUUAAAGUGAGCCAUCAGCGGGG